rnacentral:rRNA from 1 species
AUGACAUCGACAGCGGCAGCAAUUGCGCACAGAUUGAUGCGCCAUGCUCAGGCAAUAAUAGUCCAAGCUUCAUCGUGUAAUAAGCUCCACCUGCGUGCACAGGUAAGUGGUUCUGGUACUGCUUCUGUUUUUGUUUGUUAUAUUUGCUGCCAGUCUGAUUGCUACUAUCUACUGUACGUGCUUAUUGUUUGGCUUUGA